UUUGCUUCAGAAGGUUGGGUUAUGAAGCUGACUGUGUGACUAUAGCCUGCAUCUACUGGACCUUCCAUUAGCCUGAUUAAAGACUGGAUGCUAUUUGCAUUAAAGGUUGUUGAGAAGAUUUUAUUUGAUUAGGAUGCAACAACGUCUGUUGCUGUUGUUGCAGAUGCUGUUGUUGAAUUUAUGAUUGCAAGGAUGAAGGAUGAGAAACACUCUAUUUUAGAAUUUGCUGCUGGUACUGAUACUGGUAAACAAAUGUAUUUUGUGAUUGCUAUUGAUGUUGUUGGAAAAUGAGUAUCUGUUGUUGUCGUUGUCUACCACGCAUCUGCAUUUGUAUAUUAGUAUAUCUUUUUGAUGUUAAACUUUGUCCUGCAGAACUAUUAAUGGACUUCUGUGAUACACUUGAUAUAUUCUGAAAAUGGG
rnacentral:lncRNA from 1 species